AGUGGGGAAUCUUCCACAAUGGGCGCAAGCCUGAUGGAGCAACGCCGCGUGAAUGAAGAAGGCCUUAGGGUCGUAAAGUUCUGUCCUUAGGGAAGAACCGUGGGUAUAGCAAAUGAUACCCACCUGACGGUACCUUUGGAGGAAGCACUGGCUAACUACGUGCCAGCAGCCGCGGUAAUACGUAGAGUGCAAGCGUUGUCCGGAAUUAUUGGGCGUAAAGGGUACGCAGGCGGAUAGUAAAGUCAAGCGUGAAAGGUGUCGGCUUAACCGACAGACUGCGUUUGAAACUGAUUAUCUUGAGUGUAACAGAGGAGAGUGGAAUUCCUAGUGUAGUGGUGAAAUACGUAGAUAUUAGGAAGAACACCAGUGGCGAAGGCGACUCUCUGGGUUAACACUGACGCUGAGGUACGAAAGCUGGGGGAGCGAACGGGAUUAGAUACCCCGGUAGUCCCAGCCGUAAACGAUGGAUACUAGGUGUUGGAGGUUCGAAUCCUUCAGUGCCGGAGUUAACGCAUUAAGUAUCCCGCCUGGGGAUUACGAUCGCAAGAU
rnacentral:rRNA from 1 species